rnacentral:lncRNA from 1 species
UUUUAUUUAAUCAUUGGAUCAUAAAGAAUCAGAGACAUUUGCUAAAAUCGUGUGUUUGAAUAGUACCACGAAAUUUAUUUUAUACAUGGGAUGACAUAAUAGAGAGAAUUAAUUAGAAAAGGAAUGUGAUAUGCUAAGAAGCUUCUAUAGAACCUAGAGAGAAACCCAAAAAAAUUGCAAUCAAAUGUUCCCAUCUUUGAGAAAUAGAGCUAUGUAAAUAAUAGACUUGCUUAGAUUAACAAUUUGUCAUGGUACUUGAGCAUAUAGGUCAUAACAAUUCUUGAGAAUAUAUAUUCAUAUUAGCAAGAGUACCUUUACAGAAAAUCAUUAAAUCUGUUGCGAAUUCGAUCAAAAUUCAAACUUCACAUCAAUGAAAUUUAGAUUUGUGUAGCAAGUAUCAAUAGCAACCAAUAACCAAAAUAAC